rnacentral:rRNA from 1 species
CACGUAGUUAGCCGUGACUUUCUCACAGGGUACCGUCACUGUCUUCUUCCCCUGCGACAACAGUUUGCAAUCCGAAGACCUUCUUCCUGCACGCGGCGUUGCUGCGUCAGGGUUCCCCCCAUUGCGCAAUAUUCCCCACUGCUGCCUCCCGUAGGAGUCUGGGCCGUGUCUCAGUCUCAAUGCGGCCGAUCAACCUCUCAGUUCGGCUACAGAUCGUCGCCUUGGUGAGCCGUUACCUCACCAACCAGCUAAUCUGACGCGAGUCCAUCCAUAAGCGAUAAAUCUUUCAAAUAUCUACCAUGCGGUAAAUAUUCAAUAUGCGGUAUUAGUCCACGUUUCCAUGGAUUAUCCCCCUCUUAUGGGCAGGUUACUCACGCGUUACUCGCCCGUCCGCCACUUUCCUCUUAAAAGUUCACCCCGAAGGGAUCACACAUAAGAUUCUCGUUCGACUUGCAUGUGUUAGGCACGCCGCCAGCGUCGUCUCGAGUCACGAGUCAA